AGAGUUUGAUCCUGGCUCAGAACGAACGCUGGCGGCGUGUCUUAAGCAUGCAAGUCGAGCGGCAAGCGCAGCAAUGCGCCUAGAGCGGCGGACUGGUGAGUAACGCGUGGGUGAUCUACCCUUGGGCUGGGGAUAGCCAUUAGAAAUAGUGGGUAAUACCGAAUACGUUCGCAGCACUGCGGUGCGGCGAGGAAAGGCGCUUCGGCGCCGCCCGAGGAUGAGCCCGCGUCUCAUUAGCUAGUUGGUGGGGUAACGGCCUACCAAGGCGAUGAUGAGUAGCCGGCCUGAGAGGGUGUACGGCCACACUGGGACUGAGAUACGGCCCAGACUCCUACGGGAGGCAGCAGCUAAGAAUAUUCCGCAAUGGACGAAAGUCUGACGGAGCGACGCCGCGUGGAUGACGAAGGCCGUGAGGUUGUAAAAUCCUUUUGUCGGGGAAGAAUAAGCGUGGGAGGGAAUGCCCGCGUGAUGACAUGAACCGGCGAAUAAGCCCCGGCUAACUACGUGCCAGCAGCCGCGGUAACACGUAGGGGGCAAGCGUUAUCCGGAAUUAUUGGGCGUAAAGAGUACGUAGGUGGUCUUUUAAGCGCAGGGUUUAAGGCAAUGGCUUAACCAUUGUUCGCCCUGUGAACUGGAAGACUUGAGUGUAGGAGAGGAAAGUGGAAUUCCUAGUGUAGCGGUGAAAUGCGUAGAUAUUAGGAGGAACAUCAGUGGCGAAGGCGACUUUCUGGACUAUUACUGACACUGAGGUACGAAAGCGUGGGGAGCAAACAGGAUUAGAUACCCUGGUAGUCC
rnacentral:rRNA from 1 species